GUCCACAACAUAGUAUCAUUUAUUCUAUUAUAUAAAUUGAGCCACCCUUUCUAAUUUAGAUAUUUCCAAAACUGAAAAUACUUUUCUCCCCAUUGCAAUUUAAUUACCCUUAAUUGUUUACAUUUAUUACAAUUAAAAUAUAAAAUUGAGUUUCAUAACUCCAGGUCUCCUCCAUGAAUGGCAAUAGCAAGCAUAUCUGCUAUUUAUGCAUUUAGGCGUUGCUUCUGUUGAACCAAAGUACGUAAACUGCAGCGUUCAUUGAAGAGCCUCUUCCACUCCUAAUUGUCUGCGUCAUUCUGGAUGCACAUUUUUAGUCUCAUCCCUUCAUUUGCAUCAAAAAUAAUACGGAGGAAGGAUUGAUUUUUACGUUCACAUUUUACUCAAUGUUAU